AUACGUAGGUGACAAGCGUUAUCCGGAUUUACUGGGCGUAAAGGGCGUGUAGGCGGUCUUGCAAGUCAGAAGUGAAAUUCCUGAGCUCAACUCGGGCGCUGCUUCUGAAACUGCAGGACUUGAGUGCUGGAGGGGAUAGCGGAAUUCCUAGUGGAGCGGUAAAAUGCGCAGAUAUUAGGAAGAACACCGGGGGCGAAGGCGGCUAUCUUGACAGUAACUGACGCUGAGGCGCGAAAGUGUGGGGAGCAAACAGGAUUAGAUACCCUGGUAGUCCACACUGUAAACGAUGAAUGCUAGGUGUAAGAGGUAUCGACCCCUUUUGUGCCGGAGUCAACACAAUAAGCAUUCCGCCUGGGGAGUACGGCCGCAAGGUUGAAACUCAAAUGAAUUGACGGGG
rnacentral:rRNA from 1 species